CUUCUUCCCGGUGGAUCCUGAUGGUCGGCCCAAGGCUUCUUCCCGGUGGAUCCUGAUGGUCGGCCCAAGGCUUCUUCCCGGUGGAUCCUGAUGGUCGGUCCAAGGCUUCUUCCCGGUGGAUCCUGAUGGUCGGCCCAAGGCUUCUUCCCGGUGGAUCCUGAUGGUCGGCCCAAGGCUUCUUCCCGGUGGAUCCUGAUGGUCGGUCCAAGGCUUCUUCCCGGUGGAUCCUGAUGGUCGGCCCAAGGCUUCUUCCCGGUGGAUCCUGAUGGUCGGCCCAAGGCUUCUUCCCGGUGGAUCCUGAUGGUCGGCCCAAGGCUUCUUCCCGGUGGAUCAAAAUGGUCGGUCCAAGGCUUCUUCCCGGUGGAUCCUGAUGGUCGGCCCAAGGCUUCUUCCCGGUGGAUCUUGAUGGUCGGCCCAAGGCUUCUUCCUGGUGGGGCCUGAUGGUCGGCCCAGCCCGUUCUGGGCCAGGCGAGUGUUUAUAGUGGCGCCAUCUUGCAUUGGCUCAUGCUGCCUUCCCGGAGCUCAUCUUUAAUCCUAGAAUCUAGAGUCCGGGUUGAUGGGUGGUCUUCUGGACAGCAUGUGGGUAGUUUUAAGCCACUCGGCGGCGGCUGAAAAAUCCCAGCUUGGUGGGACCGGGCGGGGAUUGAACUCGCGUCGUCCUGAACGCGGCGCCGUCACGCUAUCCAUUCAGCCACCGCCUCCUUACCACAGGAUACCACAGUUCACCUUCUUCAGGUUAUCUAGGUACCAAGUUAUCGAAAAUGAUGAUGAACAGCUGGUUGGGCUGCACACCGGGUCUGGGGUCCUCGGGUUCGUAGCUAGGCGAGUUAAUCACUACACCACGGAGGCGCCAUUUAAUUACCUAUAUUUUAAAUACUAAGUAGCCUCCUCAUCAUAUUUUUUGUCAUAUACCCUGUGUGUGUGUGUGUGUGUGUGUGUGUGUGUGUGUGUGUGUGUGUGUGUGUGUGUGUGUAA